rnacentral:rRNA from 1 species
CCUACGGGAGGCAGCAGUGGGGAAUAUUGCGCAAUGGGCGAAAGCCUGACGCAGCGACGCCGCGUGAGGGAUGAAGGUCUUCGGAUCGUAAACCUCUGUCAGCAGGGAAGAACGGUCACUGUGCUAAUCAGCAGUGAAUUGACGGUACCUGCAAAGGAAGCACCGGCUAACUCCGUGCCAGCAGCCGCGGUAAUACGGGGGGUGCGAGCGUUACUCGGAAUUACUGGGCGUAAAGCGCUCGUAGGCGGUAUGUCAAGUCAAGGGUGAAAUCCCCGCGCUCAACGUGGGAACUGCCUUUGAAACUGGCAAACUGGAGUGUGUGAGAGGAUAGUGGAAUUCCAGGUGGAGGAGUGAAAGCCGUAGAUAUCUGGAGGAACAUCAGUGGCGAAGGCGACUAUCUGGCACAUAACUGACGCUGAGGAGCGAAAGCGUGGGUAGCAAACAGGAUUAGAUACCCUAGUAGUC